rnacentral:rRNA from 1 species
GUUGUUCGGAAUUACUGGGCGUAAAGGGCUCGUAGGCGGCCAACUAAGUCAGACGUGAAAUCCCUCGGCUUAACCGGGGAACUGCGUCUGAUACUGGAUGGCUUGAGUGUGGGAGAGGAAUGCGGAAUUCCAGGUGUAGCGGUGAAAUGCGUAGAUAUCUGGAGGAACACCGGUGGCGAAGGCGGCAUUCUGGACCAUUACUGACGCUGAGGAGCGAAAGCCAGGGGAGCAAACGGG